rnacentral:rRNA from 1 species
GACAGAGGGUGCAAACGUUGCUCGGAAUUACUGGGCGUAAAGCGCGUGUAGGUGGAUUGGUGUGUCAGAUGUGAAAGCCCUGGGCUCAACCCAGGAACUGCACCUGAAACUACCAGUCUUGAGUGGUGGAGAGGGAAGUGGAAUUCCUGGUGUAGAGGUGAAAUUCGUAGAUAUCAGGAGGAACACCAGUGGCGAAGGCGGGUCUCUGGGCCGAUACUGACGCUGAGGAGCGAAAGCGUGGGGAGCGAACAGG